AACCAAGGUGAUUCCCUCUCCUAGGGGCCAGCUUGUGCCCCCCCUUCAGGAAAGUAGCAACUUGGAAUAGAAUCUGGCAUGCCUAAGGUCUUCCAAGGAGAAAGGAAUGUCUUUCCUUUUGCCUUCUUUUAGCUGCCUACAUAA
rnacentral:snoRNA from 1 species